rnacentral:rRNA from 1 species
UACGUAGGGGGCAAGCGUUGUCCGGAAUUAUUGGGCGUAAAGCGCGCGCAGGCGGCUUUGUAAGUCUUGUGUCUAAGUUCGGGGCUCAACCCCGUAUCGCAUGGGAAACUGCAAGGCUUGAGUGCAGCAGAGGAAAGCGGAAUUCCACGUGUAGCGGUGAAAUGCGUAGAGAUGUGGAGGAACACCAGUGGCGAAGGCGGCUUUCUGGGCUGUAACUGACGCUGAGGCGC